GUUCCGGUGGCUAAGUGGUUAGAGCGUCCGCCUCAGAUGCCGUAGGUCGUGAGUUCAAUACCCGAUCGAGUCA